ACAGGAUUAGAUACCCUGGUAGUCCACGCUGUAAACGAUGUCGACUUGGAGGUUGUGCCCUUGAGGCGUGGCUUCCGGAGCUAACGCGUUAAGUCGACCGCCUGGGGAGUACGGCCGCAAGGUUAAAACUCAAAUGAAUUGACGGGGGCCCGCACAAGCGGUGGAGCAUGUGGUUUAAUUCGAUGCAACGCGAAGAACCUUACCUACUCUUGACAUCCACGGAAUUCGCCAGAGAUGGCUUAGUGCCUUCGGGAACCGUGAGACAGGUGCUGCAUGGCUGUCGUCAGCUCGUGUUGUGAAAUGUUGGGUUAAGUCCCGCAACGAGCGCAACCCUUAUCCUUUGUUGCCAGCACGUAAUGGUGGGAACUCAAAGGAGACUGCCGGUGAUAAACCGGAGGAAGGUGGGGAUGACGUCAAGUCAUCAUGGCCCUUACGAGUAGGGCUACACACGUGCUACAAUGGCAUAUACAAAGAGAAGCGAACUCGCGAGAGCAAGCGGACCUCAUAAAGUAUGUCGUAGUCCGGAUUGGAGUCUGCAACUCGACUCCAUGAAGUCAGAAUCGCUAGUAAUCGUAGAUCAGAAUGCUACGGUGAAUACGUUCCCGGGCCUUGUACACACCGCCCGUCACACCAUGGGAGUGGGUUGCAAAAGAAGUAGGUAGCUUAACCUUCGGGAGGGCGCUUACCACUUUGUGAUUCAUGACUGGGGUGAAGUCGUAACAAGGUAACC
rnacentral:rRNA from 1 species